AUCCAGCACUAUUAUCCACUGUCUUUGUGGCUGCCACCGCCUCCAACCUCACUCUCAUCGAUUUUAUUGGACUUUUAAUUUGAAAAAAAUUAAUUUUUUAAAAAUUAUAUCUUAUGAUUUAAAUGCUUUGAAAUAUCUUCCUAUUAGAUGCUUUUUCCAGGGAGUUAUAAUUAUUCGGAAGAAAACAUCAGUUCACGAAGACAUAUGAUAUUUUC
rnacentral:lncRNA from 1 species